rnacentral:tRNA from 2 species
GGCCAUGUAGCCAAGUGGUAAGGCAAGGGUCUGCAAAACCCUUAUACGCCGGUUCAAUUCCGGCCAUGGCCU